GUGCCCGGACCCUGUCGCA
rnacentral:snRNA from 1 species